UUGACACAGGAGCAACAUUUACAAGCAUUGGAAAAGAAGGCUCUAAGCUCCCCCUCUCACGCAAAGCAGUAAAGACAGUAGGCUUCUCGGGUAAAACUCAAACUUUGCAUUUCACAGAGCCACAAGACAUAACAGUAGAAGGAAUCACAAUACAAGCACCAUUGUUGUAUUCCCCAAUACCCCAACAAAUCUAUUAGGCAGAGAUGUACUGUGUAAGCUAGGAGCAAAAAUCUUCUGUGGACCUACAGGAGUGUGGGUCGAACUUCCUGAAAUCCUAGCUCAACAGUGUGUGAUGGUAGAAAGAAAAA